rnacentral:rRNA from 1 species
UUGACCUCGGAUCAGGCAGGGAUACCCGCUGAACUUAAGCAUAUCAAUAAGCGGAGGAAAAGAAACCAACAGGGAUUGCCUCAGUAACGGCGAGUGAAGCGGCAACAGCUCAAAUUUGAAAUCUGGCUCUUUUAGGGUCCGAGUUGUAAUUUGUAGAGGAUGCUUCGGCGUCGGCUCCGGUCUAAGUUCCUUGGAACAGGACGUCAUAGAGGGUGAGAAUCCCGUAUGUGAUCGGUUGCCCUUGCCAUGUGAAGCUCCUUCGACGAGUCGAGUUGUUUGGGAAUGCAGCUCUAAAUGGGAGGUAAAUUUCUUCUAAAGCUAAAUACUGGCCAGAGACCGAUAGCGCACAAGUA